ensembl:lncRNA
UUUCCUUGUGUUGAUAACUUUGCUGGGAGCACCAUUAAUGCUCUGCUGCUGGCCCCACUCCAAUGGUUGCACCAACUGCAACAGCUCUUCUCUCAUCACAGCUCCAUUUUCCACAUAUUCUAGGGUGAUAACAACCUGGUGUCAUGCUUGCAACUCUACCAAAAAGCCAGCGUGAGGCUGUUGUGCAGCGCUGUGCACCAGCCUGUGCUGUUGCGUCAGCAUCCACAAGCUAUUCCUGGCCCUGUGGAUGUCAUUCGUCCUGGCUGACAUCAGCGAUGGGCAGCAAGUGCUCUGUCUCCUCUAAGGCUCUCCCUGGAGGAGAGCUGACGCGACAGGCUCAGCCCAGGCGUCAAACUUCCCGAUGGCUGGAAAGAGAGGAGAUGAGUUUUGCACUCCCUACUGCCAAGGAUGCAGUGGUUGUUUGCUGUGUAUCAGCUGGUGAAGCUUAGGAAUUAAAGUCAGUGCACAGCUCAGAUCACCGGACCUCCCCAUGGCUUUGAAAUCUGUGCUUCUGCAGCACUGCAAGAGCAGCAGAGAACCAAGAAGCACAGGCUUGAGUGAUUUGCUGUGAAU